GCCGCCGUGUAUAGAAGUCAAGUGGGAUGUAGACAUCUACAAUUGGUCCAUAACGACCAAACUCACGUCGCAAAUCCUCUGGCCUGAAGUGUCAUGAAAUAAGCACAUUUAUUCUGCUGGGUACCAUUUAAAUUUGGCUGAAGCCCAGCAGACAGGUUAUACACAAAAGCUGGUGCCAGCACAGCACAUGGCACAACAAAUAGCAGGCACAUGUUACAAAGUGAUUUGAAACCUUAAUAGUUUAGACACUGUACAAGUAAAAACUCAAUUAAGUCAACUUAAUUACAGUAGCCAGGUAAAAAGAAAAACCUGAAAUUCCAUGCACUAUUACUUUCCAGGAGGCUGAAAAGUUCAAUACUUAUUUUUUGUUAAUUACAGUAGCUAGGUUAAUUUCUCAUUUUAACACCAAGUUUUCAUACCAAUUAGGCUAUAAAAGUUCCUGAGUUUAAAUUUGCCAAAGUGCUCCUUAUAUAUUUUAAUUGUUUAAAAAUAAUAAUAUUAAAGAAAAACAGCUCUUGUAGCAGCUCAUAUGUCGAGCCCAUUAGAUGUGCACAUGGGGCUUGCGAUACAGGAAAAUAGAAAAAUGUUAAAUUUUUGUCGCUACUGCAUGGCACUAUAACCAAUCAGUGAGGGGCUUCAUGGACGGACCAAUGAUCUGAGAGAAGGCUAGACAGUCUGGAAACACUUUCAACAUGGAGGAACAGGUCAUUUUAGCUGUGUCCGACUUCCACAUACUUUACGAUGCUUCACGCAAAGAUUAUAGAGAUGUAAAAAAAAAAGGCAGUCGUGGACGUAGGUUCUGAAUUUAUUUGGAUCAGCCUUGAUGUCCUCCAUCAAAUGAUAUUCAUCACACCGUUUCCCUCGUUUGUAAAAUAGGAUGAAUCCAGGGUUGUCUUUCUUUGUACAGUAGGGUCAAAAGCAACAUUUUGAUUUCAGCAAAAUCUUCUGACUCUUCACUCUUCAUGCCUUGUAUGUCACAGACUGCUUUGAAAAUGUCAAAAUUCCCUCCAGUUUCAUAACCAAUCAAAUUUCUGUGCGUCUGGUGUGUUUGGUUUUACCAGGGCGGCGAUGAGUUUCACCUGUUGCUGUUGUUGGUCGCCCCCCAUGUGUCGAGCCCAUUACAGCAGCACUUCCUGCAGCUGCCACAACCUGCCACGAGUCUCCACAGCUUUCCAAAGUCUGCUGGAGCUGUUGACAGGCCAGCUAAACAGUGCUAACAGCUCAGACUGAUACCGUUCAAGACCACCUUGUUUAUGUGUAGCUGAGAAUAUUCAGGGGGGAAAGUCUUCCACCUCAAAUAGGGCUCUGUGGUAACGCUGGUCCCGCCCACUCUCCGCUCACUGAUCACCUCAACCCUCCUACCACAACCCUUGCAGUUUCAGACUUUUUCUAAUUCAGCAGUCGGUGGAAUUACGCAAAAAGUAGGCGUGUGUAGUUACACUUUAAUGCGUAGAUAAGCCUCUCAGCUCUCAGACAUUAUU